UACGGAGGUCCCGAGCGUUGUCCGGAUUUAUUGGGCGUAAAGCGAGCGCAGGUGGUUUAAUAAGUCUGAUGUAAAAGGCAGUGGCUCAACCAUUGUGUGCAUUGGAAACUGUUAGACUUGAGUGCAGUAGAGGAGAGUGGAAUUCCAUGUGUAGCGGUGAAAUGCGUAGAUAUAUGGAGGAACACCGGUGGCGAAAGCGGCUCUCUGGACUGUAACUGACACUGAGGCUCGAAAGCGUGGGUAGCAAACAGG
rnacentral:rRNA from 1 species